rnacentral:misc_RNA from 1 species
UCUCCGUAGGUGAACCUGCGGAGGGAUCAUUAACAUGUAUUUAAUACAACGUUACAAACCAAACCUAGUAUGAACAGUUAAUGCCUGUUUAUAGUUGUCUGAGACAAUUUUCAAAUGUUGUUAACAAGGUUCGCGUGGUGAAUUGUUUGUGUGCAUUUUUUGUACACAAGCUCUACUUGUUAACAGCAGUCGAGGAGUAACAACUGUAUUCAGUGAACAAUAUCACCAGGUUAUAUUACUUGACUUGACCAGGAUGUUUGGGUACAUCACCAAAAAUGAUGUCUUAAACAAGAAGUCCUGGAUUUUUCAAGUUUCAUAACCGAAUUCUUUUUAAUUUUAACCCCUUUAAUUUUAUAAACUUCUGAUUGAUACACAAAUUUUUUUUUGUGUAAAAGAGUAAAUUAAACUAUAAUUACAACUCUUAGCAAUGGAUAUCUUGGUUCUC